rnacentral:rRNA from 1 species
CCUACGGGAGGCAGCAGUGAGGAAUAUUGGUCAAUGGCCGGAAGGCUGAACCAGCCAUGCCGCGUGAAGGUCAGUGCCCUAUGGGCGUUAAACUUCUUUUGUGCGGGAGCAAUAAUGGUCACGUGUGGCCAGACGAGAGUACCGUACGAAUAAGCAUCGGCUAACUCCGUGCCAGCAGCCGCGGUAAUACGGGGGAUGCAAGCGUUAUCCGGAUUUAUUGGGUUUAAAGGGUGCGUAGGCUGUGAGGUAAGUCAGCGGUGAAAUGCCCCCGCUCAACGGGGUGAAGUGCCAUUGAUACUGCCUUGCUGGAAUGCGGAUGCCGGGGGAGGAAUGUGUGGUGUAGCGGUGACAUGCAUAGAUAUCACACAGAACACCGAUUGCGAAGGCAUCUCACGAAUCCGCGAUUGACGCUGAUGCACGAAAGCGUGGGUAUCAAACAGGAUUAGAUACCCCAGUAGUC